GAUGAACGCUAGCUACAGGCUUAACACAUGCAAGUCAAGGGGUCUCGCGGGAGCUUGCUUCCAAGAGACGACCGGCGCACGGGUGCGUAACACGUAUCCAAUCUGCCCGUUACUCGGGGAUAGCCUUUCGAAAGAAAGCUUAAUACCCGAUAGUAGUAUUAAGAGGCAUCUUUUGAUAAUUAAAGAUUAAUCGGUAACGGAUGAGGAUGCGUAUGAUUAGUUAGUUGGCGGGGUAACGGCCCACCAAGACUACGAUCAUUAGGGGUUCUGAGAGGAAGGUCCCCCACACUGGAACUGAGACACGGUCCAGACUCCUACGGGAGGCAGCAGUGAGGAAUAUUGGUCAAUGGACGAGAGUCUGAACCAGCCAAGUAGCGUGAAGGAAGACUGCCCUAUGGGUUGUAAACUUCUUUUGUUUGGGAAUAAAGUUAGGUACGUGUACCUAUUUGUAUGUACCAUUCGAAUAAGCAUCGGCUAAUUCCGUGCCAGCCGCCGCCGUAAGAC
rnacentral:rRNA from 1 species